rnacentral:rRNA from 1 species
AUUGAACGCUGGCGGCAGGCCUAACACAUGCAAGUCGAACGAGUGGCGGACGGGUGAGUACUGUCUGGGAAACUGCCCGCUGGAGGGGGAUAACUACUGGAAACGGUAGCUAAUACCGCAUACCAUCGGAUGUGCCCAGAUGGGGUGAGCUAGUAGGUGAGGUAACGGCUCACGCAGGCGACGAUCCCUAGCUGGUCUGAGAGGAUGACCAGCCACACUGGGACUGAGACACGGUCCCGACUCCUACGGGAGGCAGCAGUGGGGAAUAUUGCAAAAUGGGCGCAAGCCGGAUGCAGCCAUGCCGCGUGUAUGAAGAAGGCCUUCGGGUUGUAAAGUACUUUCAGCGGGGAGGCGUUACCCGCAGAAGAAGCACCGGCUAACUCCGUGCCAGCAGCCGCGGUAAUAC